rnacentral:pre_miRNA from 10 species
AUCUGUACUCUUUAGUUACAGUUGUUCAACCAGUUACUAAUCUAGCGAACUGUAACCAGUUGAACAACUGAACCUGAAGGGUGCAAAGUGGAAGCAUU